CGUCUAGUAGAAUGAAAGUAAAUUUUAAAGAAAUCCUAAUUUCUUGUUCGUUUGUCAAGAGUUUGAAUUUUCGAUAGGACUGGCGUAAUCUAUAAUGUGGAAUAUCCCAGAUCAUGUUAAAAUAUCUAACAUUGCAAACUUUUCUUUGAAAAUACAAUUCUAUUUGCAAAGACUUUUUGUUUUGAUAUCAUUAUGUUCUGAAACCUGACGAAAAAUAUGAACAUUAACUAUGUUAAGUAAUGAAGAAACAUUUGAAUAUGAAUUUAAUGGAAAGAAACUUUAAA